rnacentral:rRNA from 1 species
UGUGUAUCAGUACAUGGUAUAUCAAUAAGCGGAGGAAAAGAAACUAACAAGGAUUCCCUUAGUAACGGCGAGUGAAGCGGGAAGAGCUCAAAUUUGAAAUCUUCAAGGUUUUACCUUGACGAAUUGUAGUUUAAAGAAGUGUUUUCUGUUGGAGUUUUGGUAAAAGUUCUUUGGAAUAGGACAUCAUAGAGGGUGAGAAUCCCGUAUUUGACCAUUAUUUCCAGCUGUGUGGUACACUUUCAAAGAGUCGGAUUGUUUGGGAAUGCAGUCCAAAAUGGGUGGUAAAUUUCAUCUAAAGCUAAAUAUUGGCGAGAGACCGAUAGCGAACAAGUACCGUGAGGGAAAGAUGAAAAGAACUUUGAAAAGAGAGUUAAACAGUACGUGAAAUUGUCAAAAGGGAAGCGUUUGACACCAGUGUUGUUUAGUUGAAAAUCAAUUCAAUAGUUUUCGAUUCUAAGUAGUAUUGACUUCAUCAGCUUGCUGCUUUCUUCUCAGAAAUUAUUGAAUGCACUUUUCAGUUAACAAGUCAACAUCAAUUUCUUUUGUUGUAAAAGGGUAAGAGGAAGGUGGCUUGCGCUUCGGCUCAAGUGUUUAUAGCCUUUUAUCUCUGCAAUCGGAGAGAUUGAGGUCUGCAGCGUAGAUCCUUCGGGGUUAGAUACAUUGGUGCUAAGUUAUAGCUUUGUCAUAGACAACAUGUUGACUAUGUUAAGUCAUGUAGCUUACUCGCUGAUGCUAUUUUACCUACGCUUAGGAUGUUGAUAGUCACAGCGUGUAC